GAGAUUUGACAUAUGAACUGCUAAAUCAUACCACCGAACUGAAACGCUCGGCCUUCUC
rnacentral:tRNA from 1 species